rnacentral:lncRNA from 1 species
CCAUGCUCUUGUUUAAGAUUUCUUGAUAUUGUUGUACAAACAACCCCAUGAACUAGCUUUUAGCUGUUACAGAGGCUCUCCAGUAAAAAUUGGCUUGCUUUGGUUAGUUCUAAGCUGGUCUAAUGACUUCUACUUGCCAGAUAAUCACAUCAGUGCAUGCUUUAGACUAGCCUGACUCGCAUUAGCUUACAGAAUUUUCAGUCUCUCUUGCACAUUCCCCUUGCACAUCGUUGUUCCACUUAGCCUUGAAAUACUUUUGAUAGAGGGUUGACUGUGGGUACAAUUUUGCUACUAACGGAGAUUUGCAUUUUCUGUUUUUAUAUUGUCUUUUUUUUGCCCUAGAAAAUGAUGCAGAUCUCAUCAGUGCUGUAGGAGCCGUCAGUGGAGUCCUGCUGAUGCUGGCAGUAGUAUCUGCAAUUUUCUAUGUCUUCAGAUGCAAACCAGGGAAGAAUGAAACAGGUAUACAACAUAAAAUCACGUAAACCUAUACAAUAAAGAAUAUGCACCACUUUAAGAUAUGACUACCCAUUGAAAUGUGUAUGAAUGAUUAAACAUUUAUAUCAGUCAGUCAUAGACACAACACAAACCUUAUAAAAGUAGUUAAAAACUAGCUUUUAGUUGUUCCAGAGGCUCUAGAACACCAAGGAACAGCACUUGCCUUACACUGGAUGGGCUAGAAUUGGGUUUUAGCUGUUCCAGAGGCUCUAGGACACUAAGUAACAGCACUUGCCUUGCUUUUUGUUGGAUAGUGGGGUUGACAGUCAUACAAUACAUACCUUUAAAACCAGCUAAAAAUAAAAAUGUUUAAAUGUAUGCAUCUAUAUUAAAAAAAAUAUCACUAAGGAAUGUAUUUUAUCUGUCCCUGUCUUUAGAUCAUGUGCACUCAGAGGUGGACAAUGAGGAUGUUCGCUUGUAUGAGGAGAUACAGCCCUCCAAUCCUACGCAAGACGCCGACACAAUCUCCACCAAUCAGAACCCUCGUCCAGCAUGUAUCACCAUAUACUCCUCAAUAACAAAUCCAACCCCUGAAUUACACUCUGAAUACACACUGGCUACAAAUCCUAAACCAAUUACAGACUCCAGCCAAUCCGACCAAAGUUCAAACGACCCAAACUACAGUAAAAUAUAUUUCAUUAACAACAAAACUUUAGAUUCUACAGUGAGUUGCAACGAUACGACAUAUUCAACUGUUCAAAAAGUCUUAAAAGAUUAAAACUGAACAACUAAAUCUUAGCUGACUGUAGUUCAGAUUAAUCCACUAUUGGAUUUUCACAAAAUUAAUUAACCCUCAAUGGCAUGAAUUUUAUAUUUCUGAAGAAAAAUAAUGAUAGCCACCACUGCAUUAGCUUUAUUAGAAUUAUUUCUCUAACAAAUAUGGUUUAACUGUAUAUUGUUGCACAAAUGAAGGCAACAAAUAAUAAAAAAACACAUUAGCAAGUAAAUUAAUAGUAA